GAGAAUUUUUGUUUCUUUUCAAUUUCUAUAUAUUUUUCUUGUUUUAAACUGUGCUUGUUAGGAUUUGUUUUGCAGUAUUGACUGGAAGUGGUAAUAGUGGACUUCCUGCCCACAUUUCUGAUUUCAAGGGAGACAUUCGCAGUUUCAUCACAUUGUUCCCUUAACAUUGUUGCUGAAGAUCCAUACCUGAGUCUCCCAUUGUUGCUCCUGCUGGGUGGGAACCAACACCUUGAGAAAUACUGCCUGGAGGGUGCCACGCCAUGAGUGAAGGGACAGUCCCAUGGCUCACCAAGCCAGCUCGCCUCCCACUCCCAGCUCAAGCUCCAAGAUGCAGAACAAGUGAGGUGCUGCUCCUUCUCCAGGUAAGUACUCCUGAACAUGACCAACUGAAACAGAAGAACCGCGAUGGAGAAGCACAUCAACCAGUGCACCCCGACAUCCCCAGCCCCCCAGAGAGAUCCACAGAGCCCACGGACACCGAAGGUUCCUAUCAGCCCUGCAGUAAAGGAACCUUGACAGUCGCUGAAGCCCUUUCUCAGAAUGUGGAGGUGAGAGUUCCUGUUCCAUCUCUGAAAGGCCAUGGUGGCCCUGGCAUCUCAUCCUGCCCUCUGGCCAGGCAUCCCCAUGCCUCCUGCCAGCAUCAGAGCCACAUCCUCACAGCCGCGCACAGAGAACAGGCAGACGAUGGGAGCAACAUGUUCUUUUAUUGAUGCAAGUACGUCCAGUCACACCAGUAGCUGACAUCCUGCAUUAUGGUACAGCUUUAUACUCAGUUCAUCUUGAAAUACCAAAACAUCAGAGUUAGGGUAUGUAUCAAAUUGGAAAAACAAAAUAGCAAAUGUAGACACUGUGGCAGGUCGGUACUAGAACUGAUAACCCAGGGAAGUGCACAUUGAUGUGAAAGCUCCUUAACACGUGGACAAAAAAGGUUCUAACAUUGUAUUCCAAAUAUAGAUUCUCAAGUUUUAAACCUUUAUCUCAAAUACAUAAAGCAAUAUGUAUUAUCAGUAUACAGUAUGUACUAUCUAGAACAUCUGAAAAGUGCAAAAACACUGUGACAAUACAGUGUGAAUAUCCUUGCUCCACCCAGGGAUGAGGGCGACAUCAGCAGCAGAUCACAAAGCCACCUCCCCCUGAGGCGGCGUCCUCACAUCUCCAGGCUCUCCCAGGAGUUCUGGGAAUUGGCAGCUAACAGAUCCAUCCUCACCCAGGCCUCCCCGCUGGAGACUCUGGCGAACCCCAGCCAUGUGGGGAGAGGGUGAGUAGUUCCAGGUCUGCUUGCGUGGAAUGAAAGCCUGCCAAGAGGCAGGGAUACAGUGUGGACUGCCCACUUCUGACCUUGAAGGGAGCAGGGCUGUCGUGAUCCCACGGCCAGGAAGUCAGACAGAAAAUGGAGUGCACACCUCGAGUCUGGGUGUGGAAAACAACUCCAAAUGUUGGGCGGUUGUAUGUGCAUGGGCUCCAGCAGAUACAGGCCUGGCUAACUUUGGGUUUCAGUUCCACUAGGGGAGCUCCCCGCCCAGAAGGAAGGAGGGUACUGAUUUGUAAGUUGCUUCUUUUCCCUUUGUACUUGGACUUCAAGGUGGCUUUCAGUGUCCCCAUCCUUCAAUUUUACUUUUUUUUCACUUCAUUAUGGCUAAGUGUCUCAAAGUGAUAGCCUGGAAAACUGACAAUUCCAUGAUCCCCCUCCUUACGUUAUUUGAGAUUUUCUCUUUUCCUAAAAUGUAGUUGAGUUUUGCCAGACAUAUUCCAACAGAAAAUACGCUGCCAGGUAUCCCCCUUCCCUCCCUACUGACCCCCAUAAAUCCCUGAUAAAGGAAAAUGAAAAUGUAAACUUUGGAAAGCCCAUGUUCAAGGUGCACUUCUAGAAAUAAGCAAAUGAGAUCCACCCGCCCCCACCACCCCGGCCACCCGAGCCCUUCUUGCUGGACCCUCGCAGGCCUGGGCGCUGAGGGCAGCACUUUCCCGGCACCUCCAGCAGCCCGGCUGCGGGAGAGACCGGCCUCCAGUACCCUCUAAGGCACUAACCCCGACAUCAGAGACACUGGCUGGAAAGGAGGCAGGGCUCACGUUGGUUUUGGUUGGGUUUUUUAAAUUUUUUUUUUUUGUAAGAUGUUAAUAAUCAAAAGUAGAAAAUAAAAAUCUACAUUUCAUUAGAAUAAGAUGUUAUCAUGGACACCAUCUCCCAUGAUACUCUUUCCCCACCCCUCCCCAAAGCAGGGCCCUGCCCUGUUAUUUAAAGUAAACAAAAGAACUUUGUUAAGUGCCAAAGGUUGAUGCAUGAAAUAAUUAUUUUUUUCUUCACAAAAGUUAUGUACAAAAUGGACCCCAACCAGUGAGGCCUCCUCAUCUCAACCCAUAUCAAUCAACAUUAGAACUCAGUACAUAAGUGUGCUUCAUCCAGCGUCUGCAGGCCGCAUCCAUGCCUUCAGGCUCUGUUAAGGAGAGUGGUCCUAAAGGAGGCGAUGAAGAGAGCUGAGAGACGAGAAGACCCUCAGAAGCCAUGUCCACACACGGUGGUUGGUGUGGAUUUUGUGCAGGAAGUAGAUGUCCUUGACGAAAAGGUUGAACACGGGGAUGACGAUCUUCUCCCGGCUGCUG